rnacentral:rRNA from 1 species
CAGUCGCCGCGGGAAUACAGAGGGUGCGAGCGUUAAUCGGAUUUACUGGGCGUAAAGCGUGCGUAGGCGGCUUCUUAAGUCGGAUGUGAAAUCCCUGAGCUUAACUUAGGAAUUGCAUUCGAUACUGGGAAGCUAGAGUAUGGGAGAGGAUGGUAGAAUUCCAGGUGUAGCGGUGAAAUGCGUAGAGAUCUGGAGGAAUACCGAUGGCUAAGGCAGCCAUCUGGCCUAAUACUGACGCUGAGGUACGAAAGCAUGAGGAGCAAACAGGAUUAGAGACCCCGGUAGUCCCUGUCUCUUAUAC